rnacentral:lncRNA from 1 species
UACUCUGGCUGACCAUCGUCAUCGUGGGACUGACUUUGGUGGAAGUCCUUGGUUACUUAUCAUUACUGUGUUUCUGAGAAGUUAUAAAUUUGCCAUCUCCCUCUGCACAAGUUACCUUUGUGUGUCUUUCCUGAAGACUAUCUUCCCGUCUCAAAAUGGACAUGAUGGAUCCACGGAUGUACAGCAGAGAGCCAGGAGGUCCAACCGCCGUAGACAGGAAGGAAUUAAAAUUGUCCUGGAAGACAUCUUUACUUUAUGGAGACAGGUGGAAACCAAAGUUCGAGCUAAAAUCCGUAAGAUGAAGGUGACAACAAAAGUCAACCGUCAUGACAAAAUCAAUGGAAAGAGGAAGACCGCCAAAGAACAUCUGAGGAAACUAAGCAUGAAAGAACGUGAGCACGGAGAAAAGGAGAGGCAGGUGUCAGAGGCAGAGGAAAAUGGGAAAUUGGAUAUGAAAGAAAUACACACCUACAUGUGAGUUCAGAAACUGAACCCCACCCUCUUGGGAAACGCCCAUUGGAGUGUUGUUUUUAACCUUUGUACAAUGUUUAGACCCAGUAAAUGCAGAAAUAGAAACAAAUGGUCAGAAGACAUAUCGUGAGAGAGAGAGAGUUCACAAAACAGAAAACAAAGUACCUUAAUAUUUACCAGUGACCAAAAGAUGUGAAGUAGCAAAACGGCUCCUGACCCCAUUGCCAGCUAGACUGUGUGGAAACUCGGUUCAUACCAGCCAUUCUAGGGGUGGGGUGAGUUGUUGUCAUCCUUAGGAAAGUGUGUUGUUGUAGGAUCAACCACAUCCUUCAAAAGGACUAUGCCUGUUUAUAAGCCCAGCUGUUUCUGCCCUGUGAAACACGGUAAAGAUAUUAAUACAAAGAGAAUACAGCUUUAUGAUAAAAGAUGCUCAAUGAAGGAUGAAUUAGGGAUAUACUGAGAAUGGGGAAGGAAACUAUCAUCUCAGAAGUCAGGCAGUAAGCAAGAGGAGGAAUCAAUAUAGCAACAGUUUGGAUCAGACUGUACAGUUUUUUUGUUUUUGUUUUUGUUUUUGUUUUUCUGAGAUGGAGUCUUGCUGUGUCACCCAGGCUGGAGUGCAAUGACGUGAUCUUGGCUCACUGCAACCUCUGCCUCCCAGGUUCAAGUGAUUCCCCUGCCUCAGCCUCCCGAGUAGCUGGGAUUACAGGCGCCUGCCACCACCCCCGCCUAAUUUUUUGUAUUUUUAGUAGAGACGGGGUUUCACCGUAUUAGCCAGGAUGGUCUCAAUCUCCUGACCUCGUGAUCCAUCCGCCUCGCCCUCCCAGAGUGCUGGGAUUACAGGCGUCAGCCACCGUGACCGGCUCAGACUGUACUCUUCUAGCCAUCUGAAAUACGUUUUCUAGGGAAAUGUUUCAACGUGCGCAAGCGUUGCGGCGGCGGGCAGAGGACUACUACAGAUGCAAAAUCACCCCUUCUGCAAGAAAGCCUCUUUGCAACCGGGUAAGUUUGCUUGUUUUCCUUGCUUUUGGACAUAGUCUGCCAGGUCAGGACAUGGAUACAUUUUUCUCCCUACGGCUCUGUGCUCAAGCCCUGCAGAGGGAGAUGGCAGAGAGGAAGGCUGCCUACAAGCAUCACAGUCCCAUCCCUGUUGGUAACCGUGUUGCGCAAAAACACCUUCAUCCCCACCCAGUGGGGCCCCCAUCUAAUAUUCUAAGUGUCAGAGGUUCCGUAUUUGUAAUAGCAAAUGGGCCCUGACUGUAAAUUAGUGAAGAGUGAAUGUAACUUAUUACCCACAGGGACAAUUCCAAAUGAGGGCCUUAAAUGAUGCUCAGCUAAGCUGGUUCUUGUGUGGCCUCUGUACCUUCAAAAGCUGCCGAGUCCUAUGAUUGCACGCGAUGGGACUUGUACACUUGAAAUGAAACACAGUUUUAAAACUUGCUUUGUU